GUGGGGAAUCUUCCGCAAUGGACGAAAGUCUGACGGAGCAACGCCGCGUGAACGAUGACGGCCUUCGGGUUGUAAAGUUCUGUUAUACGGGACGAAUGGUACGACGGCCAAUACCCGUCGUAAGUGACGGUACCGUAAGAGAAAGCCACGGCUAACUACGUGCCAGCAGCCGCGGUAAUACGUAGGUGGCAAGCGUUGUCCGGAAUUAUUGGGCGUAAAGGGCGCGCAGGCGGCGUCGUAAGUCGGUCUUAAAAGUGCGGGGCUUAACCCCCUGAGGGGACCGAAACUGCGAUGCUAGAGUAUCGGAGAGGAAAGCGGAAUUCCUAGUGUAGCGGUGAAAUGCGUAGAUAUUAGGAGGAACACCAGUGGCGAAAGCGGCUUUCUGGACGACAACUGACGCUGAGGCGCGAAAGCCAGGGGAGCAAACGGGAUUAGAAACCCUGGUAGUCC
rnacentral:rRNA from 1 species